AUGCUUGUUCUGGCAGCACAUACACUAAAAAUGGAAAAAUACCGAGAAGAUUGGCACGGCCCCUGCACAAUGAUGACAUGCAAAUUCAUGAAAUGGAAAGCAAAGCAUAUUA